rnacentral:rRNA from 1 species
GAACGCUGGCGGCGUGCUUAACACAUGUAAGUCAGGGAGAAAGGGAUAGCAAUAUCCCAAGUACACCGGCGAACGGGUGAGUAACACGUAGGCAACUUACCUUGUGGACGGGGAUAACCUCGGGAAACCGAAGCUAAUACUCGAUAAUGCAGCGGCACUGCAUGAUGAUGUUGUUAAAAGCCCCGAUGCAAGUCGGGGUGCCACAAGAUAGGCCUGCGUCCCAUUAGCUCGUUGGCGGGGUAACGGCCCACCAAGGCUACGAUGGGUAGCUGGUCUGAGAGGAUGGUCAGCCACACUGGAACUGAGACACGGUCCAGACUUCUACGGAAGGCAGCAGUGAGGAAUAUUGCUCAAUGGGCGAAAGCCUGAAGCAGCGACGCCGCGUGAGGGACGAAAUCCGUUAGGAUGUAAACCUCUUUUCCAAGGGAAGAAUGUCCCGCCUAUGGGCGGGAUUGACGGUACCUUGGGAAUAAGCACCGGCCAACUACGUGCCAGCAGCCGCGGUAAUACGUAGGGUGCGAGCGUUGUCCGGAAUUACUGGGUGUAAAGGGUCCGCAGGCGGACAGGUAAGUCGGUGGUGAAAGUUCGCAGCUUAACUGCGAAAUUGCCCUCGAUACUGCUUGUCUUGAGUGUGGGAGAGGAUGAUGGAAUUCAUGGUGUAGCAGUGAAAUGCGUAGAUAUCAUGAAGAACACCAGUUGCGAAGGCGAUCAUCUGGUCCACAACUGACGCUCAGGGACGAAAGCGUGGGGAGCAAACAGGAUUAGAUACCCUGGUAGUCCACGCCCUAAACUAUGGAUACUCGGUGUCGGUCCGCAAGGAUCGGUGCCUAAGCUAACGCAUUAAGUAUCUCACCUGGGGAGUACGAUCGCAAGGUUGAAACUCAAAGGAAUUGACGGGGGCCCGCACAAGCAGUGGAGCAUGUGGUUCAAUUCGAUGCAACGCGAAGAACCUUACCUGGGUUUGAAAAGCUCUGUAAACCGGUGAAAGCCGGCUAGUGUAGCAAUACACACGGAGUACAGGUGCUGCAUGGCUGUCGCCAGCUCGUGCCGUGAGGUGUUAGGUUAAGUCCUGCAACGAGCGCAACCCCUACACUUAGUUGCCAUCAGGUCAAGCUGGGCACUCUAAGUGGACUGCCUACGCAAGUAGUGAGGAAGGUGGGGAUGACGUCAAGUCCUCAUGGCCCUUACACCCAGGGCCACACACGUGCUACAAUGGUCGCUACAAAGGGUUGCUAAGCCGCAAGGCGGAGCCAAUCCCAAAAAAGCGGCCUCAGUUCGGAUUGGGGUCUGCAACUCGACCCCAUGAAGCUGGAAUUGCUAGUAAUCGCGCAUCAGCACGGCGCGGUGAAUACGUUCCCGG